GACGAACGCUGGCGGCGUGCUUAACACAUGCAAGUCGAGCGAUGAAGUUCCUUCGGGGACGGAUUAGCGGCGGACGGGUGAGUAACACGUGGGUAACCUGCCUCAUAGAGGGGAAUAGCCUUCCGAAAGGAAGAUUAAUACCGCAUAAGAUUGUAGUACCGCAUGGUAUAGCAAUUAAAGGAGCAAUCCGCUAUGAGAUGGACCCGCGUCGCAUUAGCUAGUUGGUGAGGUAACGGCUCACCAAGGCGACGAUGCGUAGCCGACCUGAGAGGGUGAUCGGCCACAUUGGGACUGAGACACGGCCCAGACUCCUACGGGUGGCAG
rnacentral:rRNA from 1 species